ACUUGUUUAGUUCAGUUGGUAAAAUACAAGGCUCUUAAACUUGUGGUUGUGGGUUCGAGCCCCUCGGUGGGUG
rfam:Zea mays cultivar B73 chromosome 9, whole genome shotgun sequence.